rnacentral:rRNA from 1 species
UGGUGCCUUCGGGAACUGUGAGACAGGUGCUGCAUGGCUGUCGUCAGCUCGUGUUGUGAAAUGUUGGGUUAAGUCCCGCAACGAGCGCAACCCUUAUCCUUUGUUGCCAGCGGUUCGGCCGGGAACUCAAAGGAGACUGCCAGUGAUAAACUGGAGGAAGGUGGGGAUGACGUCAAGUCAUCAUGGCCCUUACGACCAGGGCUACACACGUGCUACAAUGGCAUAUACAAAGAGAAGCGACCUCGCGAGAGCAAGCGGACCUCAUAAAGUAUGUCGUAGUCCGGAUUGGAGUCUGCAACUCGACUCCAUGAAGUCGGAAUCGCUAGUAAUCGUAGAUCAGAAUGCUACGGUGAAUACGUUCCCGGGCCUUGUACACACCGCCCGUCACACCAUGGGAGUGGGUUGCAAAAGAAGUAGGUAGCUUAACCUUCGGGAGGGCGCUUACCACUUUGUGAUUCAUGACUGGGGUGAAGUCGUAACAAGGUAACCGUAGGGGAACCUGCGGUUGGAUCACCUCCUUACCUUAAAGAA